UAUUUAUGAUGACUAGCUAGUGACUAGGUGACUUAAGAAAGGGUAGUAUAAUAAUUUCUUGCAUGCUUAGUUCUAUAAUAAACUUUAUGAAACAGAGUAGUUGGAAAACUUACUAAUCUAACGAUCUCGAAUUGAUUCAGACUAGAAACGAGUAUAUUAAUAUAUCUGUCAUAAGUUUAAAAAACUAAUUUUAAUAUGCAUAAGGUUAUACAUAUAUUUAUAGUUUGGAUAGAUAUAGUACAGUUAGAGAUAGAUUGGCAACUAAAUAGAUUAAAAUUAGUCUUAGUGACAAAAUUGGUGAACAUACAUAUAAACCUUGUUCUUUUUUCAACUGUCGGUCUGUGUGAACGGACCCUUAGUAUUUAAACAAAAUCAAAGUCUUAUCAUCAAACUGUACCGAUAUUACCUAUUUUACCAUGUUAUAUUUAAGACUGAAUUUAGCAUGACUUUCCAUAUUUUAUACUUUUUUAUUUAUAAACUAUGUGUAUGAUUUUUUUCGACCUUCGCUGACUGAUUUUUUUAUAUUAUGUGUAUUUUUUUACUACCUCCCUAUGCCACGUAGCAGGGCAACUUGUUUAUAAAUACCUGAGCUAGCAGUUUUUUUUUAAUAGUGUCAAAAGUUUUAAUAUGGAUGUAGAUCUAA